GCCUUCGUGGUGUAAUGGACAGCACACUGAGCCGGUAUUUCAGAGGUCCGUGGUUCGAUUCCCGGCGAAGGCC
rnacentral:tRNA from 1 species